rnacentral:rRNA from 1 species
UACGUAGGGGGCUAGCGUUGUCCGGAUUUAUUGGGCGUAAAGAGCGUGUAGGCGGCCAGGUAGGUCUGCUGUGAAAACUCGAGGCUCAACCUCGAGACGUCGGCGGAAACCAUCUGGCUAGAGUCCGGAAGAGGAGAGUGGAAUUCCUGGUGUAGCGGUGAAAUGCGCAGAUAUCAGGAAGAACACCCGUGGCGAAGGUGGCUCUCUGGGACGGUACUGACGCUGAGACGCGAAAGCGUGGGGAGCGAACAGG